rnacentral:rRNA from 1 species
AUGAAAAUAUUAUCAUGGAACUGCCGGGGUCUUGGGAACGCCCCGACAGUGCGUGCUUUGCUAGACGUCCAGCAGAGAUGUACCCCCGAGGUGGUGUUUUUGUCGGAGACCCACCUUGAUAGCUAUCCGGCGGAAUGCUUAAGGAGAAGAAUGAAGAUGGAUCAGAAACUAGUGUGCACGAGUAAUGGUAGAAGUGGUGGUUUAGUUCUUUUUUGGAAUAAUCAUAUCAAUGUUCGUAGACUUGCUCUAGAUGCUAUGUUCAUCGAUGUAAUAAUAGAGGACAAUAAUAAUAAUCCGAUUUGGCGUUUGACUGGGAUGUACGAAGAGUUUAGAUGGGCGAAUAAACACCUGACCUGGUCACGCAUGCGGCAACUUCACCAGAGUCAGAACUUGCCGUGGCUCUUGAUUGGUGAUCUGAAUGAAAUUCAAUUUCUUCAUGAGAAGGAAGGAGGCAAUCCGCGACCGGUACAAUAUAUGUAG